rnacentral:tRNA from 2 species
UCUAACGUGGCAGAUAAGUGCAUUGGAUUUAAGCUCCAUAAAUAAAGGUCAAAACUUUCAUUAGAA